UACGUAGGUGGCAAGCGUUGUCCGGAUUUACUGGGCGUAAAGGGCGUGCAGGCGGUCUGUUAAGUGCAGGGUGAAAGCUCCCGGCUCAACUGGGAGAGGUCCUUGCAUACUGGCGGACUUGAGGGGGGUAGAGGAAAGUGGAAUUCCCGGUGUAGUGGUGAUAUGCGUAGAUAUCGGGAGGAACACCUGUGGCGAAGGCGGCUUUCUGGGCCCUACCUGGACGCUGAGACGCGAAAGCGUGGGGAGCGAACCGG
rnacentral:rRNA from 1 species